UAGUCAUAUCCAACCAACAACAUCUUCAC
rnacentral:sRNA from 1 species